GACGAACGCGGCGGCGUGCUUAACACAUGCAAGUCGAACGAAGAGCGAUGGAAGCUUGCUUCUAUCAAUCUUAGUGGCGAACGGGUGAGUAACGCGUAAUCAACCUGCCCUUCAGAGGGGGACAACAGUUGGAAACGACUGCUAAUACCGCAUACGAUCUAAUCUCGGCAUCGAGGAUAGAUGAAAGGUGGCCUCUACAUGUAAGCUAUCACUGAAGGAGGGGAUUGCGUCUGAUUAGCUAGUUGGAGGGGUAACGGCCCACCAAGGCGAUGAUCAGUAGCCGGUCUGAGAGGAUGAACGGCCACAUUGGGACUGAGACACGGCCCAGACUCCUACGGGAGGCAGCAGUGGGGAAUCUUCCGCAAUGGACGAAAGUCUGACGGAGCAACGCCGCGUGAGUGAGGACGGCCUUCGGGUUGUAAAGCUCUGUUAAUCGGGACGAAAGGCCUUCUUGCGAAUAGUUAGAAGGAUGACGGACCGA
rnacentral:rRNA from 1 species